rnacentral:rRNA from 1 species
GACGAACGCUGGCGGCGUGCUUAACACAUGCAAGACGAGCGAUGAAGCUCCUUCGGGAGUGGAUUAGCGGCGGACGGGUGAGUAACACGUGGGUAACCUGCCUCAUAGAGGGGAAUAGCCUUUCGAAAGGAAGAUUAAUACCGCAUAAGAUUGUAGUUUCGCAUGAAACAGCAAUUAAAGGAGUAAUCCGCUAUGAGAUGGACCCGCGUCGCAUUAGCUAGUUGGUGAGGUAACGGCUCACCAAGGCGACGAUGCGUAGCCGACCUGAGAGGGUGAUCGGCCACAUUGGGACUGAGACACGGCCCAGACUCCUACGGGAGGCAGCAGUGGGGAAUAUUGCACAAUGGGGGAAACCCUGAUGCAGCAACGCCGCGUGAGUGAUGACGGUCUUCGGAUUGUAAAACUCUGUCUUCAGGGACGAUAAUGACGGUACCUGAGGAGGAAGCCACGGCUAACUACGUGCCAGCCGCCGCGGUAA